GAUGAACGCUGGCGGCGUGCCUAAUACAUGCAAGUCGAGCGAACGGACGAUAAGCUUGCGUUUCUGAUGUUAGCGGCGACGGGUGAGUAACACGUGGAUAACCGACCUAUAAGACUGGGAUAACUUCGGGAAACCGGAGCUAAUACCGGUUAAUGUUUUUAACCGCUGGGUUCAAAAGUGAAAUACGGUCUGGCGGUCACUUAUAGAUGGAUCCUCGCUGCAUUAGCUAGUUGGUAAGGUAACGGCUUACCAAGGCAACGAUGCAUAGCCGAACUGAGAGGGUGAUCGGCCACCCUGGAACUGAGACACGGUCCAGACUCCUAAGGGACGGAGCAGUAGGGAAUCUUACGCAAUGGGCGAGAGCAUGACGGAGCAACGCCGAGUGAGUGAUGACGGUCUUCGGAUCGUAAAACUCUGUUAUUAGGGAAAAACAUAUGUGUAAGUAACUGUGCACAUCUUGACGGUACCUAAUAAGAAAGCAACGGCUAACUACGUG
rnacentral:rRNA from 1 species